ACCCGUUCCCAUGCCGAACACGGAAGUUAAGCUCUUCAGCGCCGAUGGUAGUUGGGGGACUCCCCCUGUGAGAGUAGGACGUUGCCAGGU
rnacentral:rRNA from 1 species